UUAAUAAUCAUGUGAUCGAGCCCCACCUAUUUUCAUUCUGCAAAUCUCAAGGAUCAGAAAAGUCAUUGUUUUCUUCCCCAAAAAUACAUUCCCCAGCCCUGAGAUACAGCUUGUAUUUUGGUGACAUCAUUUUGAAAGCAAACUAAUUAUUUCACACAAAUGGAAAGCCAUCAUCUCCUUGGAGGUCACCACCAUCAUGGGCAUCAUGGUCACCAUGGUCACCACCACGGUCAUCAUGGUCACUUUGGUCCACCACCUGUCAUUGAUAUACAUGUAGGCGGUGGGGGGCACCAUCACGGUCACCAUCGUCAUCACCAUCACCCUCCCCCUUUUCAUCACCAUCACCCUCACCACCAGCAUCAUGAACGGGUGGAGUGCUGCGUUAUACUUUAAAAAACUAAUAAUGAUAUUAUUAUCAAUAUUAUGUAUCCAUUAUUGUCAUAAAAGAAACUCAUAAUCUAUGAUAUUGUCAUUGGUGGUUUAGCCUUUCCUUAAACUUUAUUAUUAUUAUUAUUAUUAUUAUUAUUAUAUUAUCAUUAUUAAUUGAUAUGAAUCAAUAAUUGAUUACUAAUCAAAUUUUAGCAACAACACAUCUUAGAUAAUCCAAGAUGCUCAUUGCUGCUAAAAUCUAACUAUGAUUUGGAGCUGAUUAUCAUUAAUUUAAAUAUUUCUCUCAGUCAUGUAACUGCCAACUCAA